rnacentral:snRNA from 10 species
GGAAGUGAAGGCAAUCUGGCUGCAACAUGUGUCACCAGGGUGGAUUGGGCUGAUCUGGCUGGCUAGCUAGAUGUCCCCUUCAUCCCUCACUGCUCCAUGUGCAUCUCUCCCAAAGCUGCACACUCAGUCCAAGAGGACAGCCAACCCCAGUAGAAGAGGACUGGUCUUCAGUCAAACCUACGUGAGUAAUUAUGCUCCCCUGCUAAAACCUCCAAACAAGCUCUUAAGAUGAUGGAGGAAGGCACAACAGGCCAUUAACAAUAAAACACAUUGAAUAGUUAGGCAAAAAAUU